CCCUUAGAUGUCCGGGGCUGCACGUGCGCUACACUGAAGGAAUCAGCGUGCUAAAACCAUUGUCGAAAGGCAUUGGUAAACCCAUUAAAAUCCUACGUGAUUGGGAUCGGGAAUUGCAAUUAUUUCCCUUGAACGAGGAAUUCCCAGUAAGUGUGGGUCAUAAGCUCGCGUUGAUUACGUCCCUGCCCUUUGUACACACCGCCCGUCGCUGCCCGGGACUGAGCCGUUUCGAGAAAAGCGGGGACUGCUGCUGUCGGGGCUUUCGGGCCUUGGCUUCGGUGGAAACCGCUUUAAUCGCAGUGGCUUGAACCGGGCAAAAGUCGUAACA
rnacentral:rRNA from 1 species